GGCCCAUUAGCUUGUUGGUGAGGUAAAGGCUCACCAAGGCUCCGAUGGGUAGCUGGUCUGAGAGGACGAUCAGCCACACUGGGACUGAGACACGGCCCAGACUCCUACGGGAGGCAGCAGUGGGGAAUCUUGCGCAAUGCGCGAAAGCGUGACGCAGCAACGCCGCGUGGGGGAAGAAGGCUUUCGGGUUGUAAACCCCUUUCAGUUGGGACGAAGCUUCGCCGAUGAAUAGUCGGCUGGAGUGACGGUACCUUCACAAGAAGCACCGGCUAACUACGUGCCAGCAGCCGCGGUAAUACGUAGGGUGCAAGCGUUGUCCGGAAUUAUUGGGCGUAAAGAGCGUGUAGGCGGCCCGAUUAGUCCGCUGUGAAAGUCCAGGGCUCAACCCUGGAAUGCCGGUGGAUACUGUCGGGCUAGAGUCCGGAAGGGGCGAGUGGAAUUCCUGGUGUAGCGGUGAAAUGCGCAGAUAUCAGGAGGAACACCAAUGGCGAAGGCAGCUCGCUGGGACGUGACUGACGCUGAGACGCGAAAGCGUGGGGAGCA
rnacentral:rRNA from 1 species